AGUGUAAUUUUGCGUUCCACUAUCUUUUUUCUUUCGUUCGCAUGCGAACACAAAUGUCAAAAUCAGUCACUUGUGUCUUUGCUGUCGUAUGAUAACAAUUAAGGAAAAUUGUUUUAACAUAAGCAUUGCUUGAUUGAAAAUGGGAACAAAAAUCACGAAAAAAUCAUCAACUACACAGCUGCGGGCACUAGUUGAGUAUAUGGAGGCUAUCUGAGUUCGACAGGGGAGUGCCACACACAUCAUCCAUAAAAAAUAGGGCUACGGAAAUAUUCAUUUUUUUAUUUUUUAAGAACACAAAUAGUUUGAACCCAAUCACUAGAAAUUUUAUUUUGUUUGUUUAUUUACAAUUACAAUUUGUUUGUUUACAACUGAACUGUCAGUUGAGACAGAGCCACUGUUGCUUUUUCGCGUUUAAGUUAGACAUUUGGCGCUUUUUUUGCCUUAUUUCGCUAUUAAUUUUUCCAAAAAAUAUUUAGCAACACUGAAUCACGUAAAGCUAUGCGAAAAAAAGAACGAAAGUUAGUGGAACGCAUUCUUAUGCGAAAGUGAGUGAGUAGCCUUCGUUCGCACAAAUUUUCUUUCGAGAUCGUGGAACAGGCUGU
rnacentral:sRNA from 1 species